rnacentral:lncRNA from 1 species
ACCUAUCUACGACCAGUUAGAGGUGAGUAGUUUGUAUAGAUGAUGGCCUGAGGGUUUGAAAUCCCGGUUUAUCACAUCGUGAUGCUAUGUUAGGUGGUAACUCGCACCCCAUGGAAGGUGCGGGGUUGUAAAUCAUUAGAGAUUAUGACUUGGUCCAUCACGAGAGCUGAAUAUAAAUUAUUGGCAUCUAAUACGCACAUUGUAUUGUUGAUAAUUGGGCGUAAUGCCAUGUUUGGGGCCGUGUGCUGAUCUGUAGCACCUAUCUAGGGUGAAUAUCUAUGUGAUAACAUGAUUUGCAUAAUCGUAUCUCAGUCUUGUGCUUAACCACUGUCAUUAAAUGUUAUGUCACCUUAUUUCAAAAAUUGACUAAUUAAAUUAUAUUCACCUUAAUAAUUGGAAACUGGCUAAGAAUCAGAUUGAAUAUGUUAUAUGACUUACAUGCAUACUGUGGACUGAGGAUGGCUCGGGCUGCACGUCGCAACGGUUAUAUAUUGAUAUUGCGCUUGGGCUGAAGGAGCCCCACCGGAGUCUGUACACACUCACAGUGAGCGCCGUCGACAAUAAAUAAAUAUGGAUGGCUCGGGCUGCACGCCGCAUCAUAUUCAUG